AAAGAAAAGAUAGAAAAGAAACAGAAUGAAACGAAACAGAGAGCAAGGAAGGAAAGAAAAGAAAGAAAGGGAGAAAAGAGAAAUUUGAGAUUUCAAGGUUUGAAAGUUUAAUUGUCAAUGUGGUACCGGAAAUCUCGGCUAAGAAAGGACAAGACAAAGUCAACGGGAGUUAGCUCGAAAAUUACGGUUAAGGUUAGACCGUUGAAUCAGCAUCCCAGGCCGAUCCCGAAUUCAAUGAGGUAAAGUAUGUUGAGUAUUGGUAUUGGCAUGUACCUAGGAUGGCUUAUGAGAGUCAUUUAGGUUGUGAAAGUAUUGAUAAAAUAAGUAAAUUAUGGUUGGCAAUGGUAUAUAGUAUGAAUUUGAAAUUUGAAAGAAAAA